rnacentral:lncRNA from 1 species
GCUAUAGCCUUGGUGGGGGGCGUGGGCGAAGUUCGUCCGCGGGACUCGGAAUGGCACCAGACUUGGCGGGCGGCUUCCGUGUGCCAAAAAUAGGCCACGGGCACAGCCGCGCCCAAAAAACAGCCCCCGAAGCUCGGGGUCCCAAGACCCCCCAGCGGAAAAAUGGCCAAAAAACGGGUGGGCUAUAGCCUUGGUGGGGGGCGUGGGCGAAGUACGUCCGCGGGACUCGGAAUGGCACCAGACUUGGCGGGCGGCCUCCGUGUGCCAAAAAUAGGCCACGGGCACACCCGCGCCCAAAAACCAGCCCCCGAAGGUCGGGGUCCCAAGACCCCCCAGCGGAAAUAUGGCCAAAAAACGGGUGGGCUAUAGCCUUGGUGGGGGGCGUGGGCGAAGUUCGUCCGCGGGUAUCGGAAUGGCACCAGACUUGGCGGGCGGCCUCCGUGUGCCAAAAAUAGGCCACGGGCAAAGCCGCGCCCAAAAAACAGCCCCCGAAGGUCGGGGUACCAAGACCCCCCAGCGGAAAAAUGGCCAAAAAACGGGUGGGCUAUAGCCUUGGUGGGGGGCGUGGGCGAAGUUCGUCCGCGGGACUCGGAAUAGUACCAGACUUGAUGGGCGGCCUCCGUGUGCCAAAAAUAGGCCACGGGCACAGCCGCGCCCAAAAACCAGCCCCCGAAGGUCGGGGUCCCAAGACCCCCCAGCGGAAAAAUGGCCAAAAAACGGGUGGGCUUUAGCCUUGCUGGGGGGCGUGGGCGAAGUUCGUCCGCGGGACUCCGAAUGGCCCCAGACUUGGCGGUAGGCCUCCGUGUGCCAAAAAUAGGCCACGGGCACAGCCGCGCCCAAAAAACAGCCCCCGAAGCUCGGGGUCCCAAGACCCCCCAGCUGAAAAAUGGCCAAAAAACGGGUGGGCUAUAGCCUUGGUGGGGGGCGUGGGCGAAGUUCGUCCAAGGGACUCGGAAUGGCACCAGACUUGGCGUGCGGCCUGCGUGUGCGAAAAAUAGGCCACGGGGACAGCCCCGCCCAAAAAACAGCCCCCGAAGGUCGGGGUCCCAAGACCCCCCAGCGGAAAAAUGGCCAAAAAAUGGGUGGGCUAUAGCCUUGGUGGGGGGCGUGGGCGAAGUUCGUCCGCGGGACUCGGAAUGGCACCAGACUUGGCGGGCGGCCUCCGUGUGCCAAAAAUAGGCCACGGGCACAGCCGCGCCCAAAACCCAGCCCCCGAAUGUCGAAGUCCCAAGACCCCCCAGCGGAAAAAUGGCCAAAAAACGGGUGGGCUUUAGCCUUGGUGGGGGGCGUGGGCGAAGUUCUUCCGCGGGACUCGGAAUGGCACCAGACUUGGCGGGCGGCCUCCGUGUGCCAAAAAUAGGCCACGGGGACAGCCGCGCCCAAGAACCAGCCCCCGAAGGUCGGGGUCCCAAGACCCCCCAGCGGAAAAAUGGCCAAAAAACGGGUGGGCUAUAGCCUUGGUGGGGGGCGUGGGCGAAGUUCGUCCGCGGGACUCGGAAUGGCACCAGACUUGGCGGGCGGCCUCCGUGUGCCAAAAAUAGGCCACGGGCACAGCCGCGCCCAAAAAACAGCCCCCGAAGGUCGGGGUCCCAAGACCCCCCAGCGGAAAAAUGGCCAAAAAACGGGUGGGCUAUAGCCUUGGUGGGGGGCGUGGGCGAAGUUCGUCCGCGGGACUCGGAAUGGCACCAGACUUGGCGGGCGGCCUCCGUGUGCCAAAAAUAGGCCACGGGCACAGCCGCGCCCAAAAAACAGCCCCCGAAGGUCGGGGUCCCAAGACCCCCCAGCGGAAAAAUGGCCAAAAAACGGGUGGGCUAUAGCCUUGGUGGGGGGCGUGGGCGAAGUUCGUCCGCGGGACUCGGAAUGGCACCAGACUUGGCGGGCGGCCUCCGUGUGCCAAAAAUAGGCCACGGGCACAGCCGCGCCCAAAAACCAGCCCCCGAAGGUCGGGGUCCCAAGACCCCCCAGCGGAAAAAUGGCCAAAAAACGGGUGGGCUAUAGCCUUGGUGGGGGGCGUGGGCGAAGUUCGUCCGCGGGACUCGGAAUGGCACCAGACUUGGCGGGCGGCCUCCGUGUGCCAAAAAUAGGCCACGGGCACAGCCGCGCCCGAAAAACAGCCCCCGAAGGUCGGGGUCCCAAGACCCCCCAGCGGAAAAAUGGCCAAAAAACGGGUGGGCUAUAGCCUUGGUGGGGGGCGUGGGCGAAGUUCGUCCGCGGGACUCGGAAUGGCACCAGACUUGGCGGGCGGCCUCCGUGUGCCAAAAAUAGGCCACGGGCACAGCCGCGCCCAAAAAACAGCCCCCGAAGGUCGGGGUCCCAAGACCCCCCAGCGGAAAAAUGGCCAAAAAACGGGUGGGCUAUAGCCUUGGUGGGGGGCGUGGGCGAAGUUCGUCCGCGGGACUCGGAAUGGCACCAGACUUGGCGGGCGGCCUCCGUGUGCCAAAAAUAGGCCAGGGGCACAGCCGCGCCCAAAAAACAGCCCCUGAAGGUCGGGGUCCCAAGACCCCCCAGCGGAAAAAUGGCCAAAAAACGGGUGGGCUAUAGCCUUGGUGGGGGGCGUGGGCGAAAUUCAUCCGCGGGACUCGGAAUGGCACCAGACUUGGCGGGCGGCCUCCGUGUGCCAAAAAUAGGCCACGGGCACAGCCGCGCCCAAAAACGAGCCCCCGAAGGUCGGGGUCCCAAGACCCCCCAGCGGAAAAAUAGCCAAAAAACGGGUUGGCUAUAGCCUUGGUGGGGGGCGUGGGCGAAGUUCGUCCGCGGGACUCGGAAUGGCACCAGACUUGGCGGGCGGCCUCCGUGUGCCAAAAAUAGGCCACGGGCACAGCCGCGCCCAAAAAACAGCCCCCGAAGUUCGGGGUCCCAAGACCCCCCAGCGGAAAAAUGGCCAAAAAACGGUGGGCUAUAGCCUUGGUGGGGGGCGUGGGCGAAGUUCGUCCGUGGGACUCGGAAUGGCACCAGACUUGGUGGGCGGCCUAGCUGUGCCAAAAAUAGGCCACGGGCACAGCGGCGCCCAAAAAACAGCCCCCGAAGUUCGGGGUCCCAAGACCCCCCAGCGGAAAAAUGCGAAAAAACGGUGGGCUAUAGCCUUGGUGGGGGGCGUGGGCGAAGUUCGUCCGUGGGACUCGGAAUGGCACCAGACUUGGCGGGCGGCCUCCGUGUGCCAAAAAUAGGCCACGGGCACAGCCGCGCCCAAAAAACAGCCCCCGAAGUUCGGGGUCCCAAGACCCCCCAGCGGAAAAAUGGCCAAAAAACAGGUGGGCUAUAGCCUUGGUGGGGGGCGUGGGCGAAGUUCGUCCGUGGGACUCGGAAUGGCACCAGACUUGGCGGGCGGCCUCCGUGUGCCAAAAAUAUUGCCACGGGCACAGCCGCGCCCAAAAAACAGCCCCCGAAGUUCUGGGUCCCAAGACCCCCCAGCGGAAAAAUGGCCAAAAAACGGUGGGCUAUAACCUUGGUGGGGGGCGUGGGCUAAGUUCGUCCGCGGGACUCGGAAUGGCACCAGACUUGGCGGGCGGCCUCCGUGUGCCAAAAAUAGGCCACGGGCACAGCCGCGCCCAA